GACGAACGCUGGCGGCGUGCUUAACACAUGCAAGUCGAACGGAAAGGCCCUGCUUUUGUGGGGCGCUCGAGUGGCGAACGGGUGAGUAACACGCGUGUAACCUGCCCUUGACUUUGGGAUAACUUCAGGAAACUGGGGCUAAUACCGGAUAGGAGCUCUUGCUGCACGGUGGGGGUUGGAAAGUUUCGGCGGUUGGGGCUGGACUCGCUGGCUAUCCGCUUGUUGGUGGGGUAGUGGCUUACCAAGGCUUUGACGGGUAGCCGGCCUGGGAGGGUGACCGGCCACAUGAGGCCUGAGAUACGGCCCAGACUCCUACGGUACGCAACGGUGGGGAGUAUUACACAGUAGGCGGAAGCCAGAUGCGACAACGCCGCGUGCGGGAAGACGGGCUUCGGGUUGUAAACCGCUUUCGCCUGUGACGAGGCGUGAGUGACGGUACCGGAUAAAGAAGCACCGGCUAACUACGUG
rnacentral:rRNA from 1 species